rnacentral:rRNA from 1 species
GACGAACGCUGGCGGCGUGCUUAACACAUGCAAGUCGAGCGGAAAGGCCCUUCGGGGUACUCGAGCGGCGAACGGGUGAGUAACACGUGGGUAACCUGCCCUUCACUCUGGGAUAACUCCGGGAAACCGGGCUAAUACCGGAUACGACCACUUUAGGCAUCUUCGGUGGUGGAAAGUUUUUCGGUGGAGGAUGGACCCGGCGGCCUAUCAGCUUGUUGGGUGGGGUAAUGGCCUACCAAGGCAGUGACGGGUAGCCGGCCNGAGAGGGGCGACCGGCCAC